ACAGGGUGACAGGUGGUGCAUGGUUGUCGUCAGCUCGUGUCGUGAGAUGUUGGGUUAAGUCCCGCAACGAGCGCAACCCUCGACCUUAGUUGCCAGCAUUCAGUUGGGCACUCUAAGGUGACUGCCGGCUAAAAGUCGGAGGAAGGUGGGGGAUGACGUCAAAUCAUCAUGCCCCUUAUGACCUGGGCUACACACGUGCUACAAUGGGCGGUACAAAGGGUCGCGAACCCGCGAGGGGGAGCCAAUCCCAAAAAGACCGCUCUCAGUUCGGAUUGCAGGCUGAAACCCGCCUGCAUGAAGUUGGAGUUGCUAGUAACCGCAGGUCAGCACACUGCGGUGAAUACGUUCUCGGGCCUU
rnacentral:rRNA from 1 species